CCCUUAGAUGUUCGGGGCCGCACGCGCGCUACACUGAAGGAAUCAGCACGUCUUUCUCCUUGUCCGAAAGGACUGGGUAACCCGCUGAACCUCCUUCGUGCUAGGGAUUGGGGCUUGUAAUUCUUCCCCAUGAACGAGGAAUUCCCAGUAAGCGCGAGUCAUAAGCUCGCGUUGAUUACGUCCCUGCCCUUUGUACACACCGCCCGUCGCUACUACCGAUUGGAUGGUUUAGUGAGGUCCUCGGAUUGGUCCCGGCGCGGCCUCUGGUCGUGCCGGAGUGCCGAAAAGAAUGUCGAACUUGAUCAUCUAGAGGAAGUAAAAGUCGUAACA
rnacentral:rRNA from 1 species